rnacentral:rRNA from 1 species
GAUAAGGUUAAGUGAAUAAGGGCGCACGGUGGAUGCCUUGGCACUAGGAGCCGAUGAAGGACGGGACUAACACCGAUAUGCUUUGGGGAGCUGUAAGUAAGCUAUGAUCCAGAGAUUUCCGAAUGGGGGAACCCAAUAUCUUUUAUAGGAUAUUACUUUUCAGUGAAUACAUAGCUGAUUAGAGGUAGACGCAGAGAACUGAAAC